UCGCUGCCGCCUUGCAGUUUGAUCUCAGACUGCUGUGCUAGCAAUCAGUGAGACUCCGUGGGCGUAGGACCCUCCGAGCCAGGUGCAGGUUAUAAUCUCGUGGUGCGCCGUUUUUUAAGCUUGUCGGAAAAGCGCAGUAUUCGGGUGGGAGUGACCCGAUUUUCCAGGUGCGGUCCUCACCCCUUUCUUUGACUAGGAAAGGGAACUCGCUGACCCCUUGCGCUUCCCGAGUGAGGCAAUGCCUCGCCCUGCUUCGGAUGGCGCACGGUGCGCGCACCCACUGACCUGAGCCCACUGUCUGGCACUCCCUAGUGAGAUGAACCCGGUACCUCAGAUGGAAAUGCAGAAAUCACCGGUCUUCUGCUUCGCUCACGCUGGGAGCAGUAGACCAGAGAUGUUCCUAUUCGGCCAUCUUGGCUCCUCCAGAGCUACUUAUUUUUUUAUGAAGGAAAAGAAUAUCAUUGAAAGCAGUUUUACCAUAAAAAGUAUUUUUCACAUAUUUGCAUGUUUAACAUCCAGGGCCCUGGAGCCAGACUGUCUGGGGUUUGAAAUCAGCUCCUCCACCUACCAGCUAUUGACCUCAGGUUGGGAACAUGACCUAAUGGUGUGCUACCAUGCAGCUCUUUCCAGCUCCAUGUUCAGUGACUUCAUAUUGGGUGUUGUCUAUUUGCCCUCCACUUGUAUACAGGCUGGCCUUUGUGACUUGCUUUGUACAGCUGAUGUGACAUCUUGAGACAUCUGAGGUCAAGGCCUUAAGAAGACUGGUCGUUUUUUCUGGAUGCUAAGAGAAGAAAGUGAUUCAAGGAGGAGGGUGUAAUCAACUUCAUCAAGUGCUGCUGACAAGUCAAGUAGGAUGAGGACCAGGAAGUGGUCAUUGGAAAUACCAGUGUGGAUGUCAUUUGCGAUUUGGUAGAUAGUAAUCCGAGUGGAGCAUUUGGAGCAAAAUCCUGGUUUAAGUAGAUUUAAGAAGAAAUUGGAAGAAAGAAAUUGGAGACAAUGAGUACAAAUAACUCUUUCUUCUCUUGCUAGAAAUCCAAGAGCAACAGAGCAAUGACUGAAGGAAGGUGCUGAUAAAUCACAAGAGCAUUUUUUUUCAAGGUGGUAGAAAUAACAUCAGCUUAUCUAAAUGCUGUAAUACACUUCUGAACCUUAACCUAUAAUUUAAAGACAGUACAGACUUGUUGCAAAAACACGAUUUCUAAAAGCAAGGUUAAUCCUUACCACAUAAUAUCUUGGCAAAAAUUAUCUUCCUUGUGUUUCAAUUUCAUCAUUUGUAAUAUGAAUUAAAAUAACCACUUUACAGAGGAGUUGGCCUGGUAAAAUUUUUUUAUUUAAGGUUCUAAGUUUGAUAGUUCUCAUUGUUCCAUAUUCUUUCAUUUGCAACUUGGUAGAAAAUAUCAAAAUUGAUUCCAAGCAAUAAUGAUUUUGAUAAAUGUAUUAGGCCAUUCUUGCAUUGCUGUAAAGAAAAUACCUGAGACUGGAUAAUUUAUGAAAAGAGAGGUUUAAUUGGCUCAUGGUU
rnacentral:lncRNA from 1 species